rnacentral:rRNA from 1 species
GAUUUCUGGCUUGAAACAUUUAGCCGGCCACGGUUUCGUGUGUUAGUGCUUUGUGUUCUGGCCAUCCUUCCAAUCGCUAUUCACCUUUCUUCAUUGAUUGGUGAGUGGUAUUGGAUCUUUUACUUUGAAAAAAUUAGAGUGUUUCAAGCAGGCUUUAUGCUAUGAAUACAUUAGCAUGGAAUAAUAAUUUAGGACUUCGGUUCUAUUUUGUUGGUUUCUAGGACUGAAGUAAUGAUUGAUAGGGAUAGUUGGGGGUGCUAGUAUUCAGCGGCCAGAGGUGAAAUUCUCGGAUUCGCUGAAGACUAACUUAUGCGAAAGCAUU